AUUCUCUCUAAUGACUGUCUCCCUCGCUGGAUGUGAUGAAGUAGGCUACAUUAUGCAGCACCCCAUGAAACAAAGAAUUGAGUGUGACCACCAGGCAACAUCUGGCAAGGAACUGAGUUCCAACAGUGCACAAGGAAGUGAAUCCUGACAACAGUCCCAAGAGCUUAGGAGUGAAUCCUUCUCCACUCCAGCCUCAGAUAAGUCUUGCCCUUAAUUGCAGCCUCAUGAAAGACUCUGAAACCUUGGGCCCAGGUAACCCAUGCCAAGAUUCCUGACCUGCAGAAACUGUGGGUCAUCAAGCAUGUUCUUUCAAGUCUCUACAUGUGUAGUAAUUUGUUAUGCAGCUUUAGAUAACCAAGAGAUGGAACAAUUGGAACUGCCCUACAGUUACGGUGGGGCAUAAAAUGACACAAGCAUUUUGGAAAACAGUUGGGCAGUUUCUUAUAAAAUUAAACAGACACUUACCCUAACACCCAGCAUUGUGCUCUAGGUAUUUACCUAAGAAAAAUAAAACGUGUUUAUACAAAGACUUAUACAUGAAUAUUUAUAGCAGUUUUAUACAUAAUAGCCUACAAGUAGAAACAACUCAAAUGUCCAUCCAAAGACAAAUAACUAAAGUAUGGAAUAUUCAUACAGUAAAAUACUACUCAGCAAUCAAGAGGAAUGAGCCACUAACACAUUCAACAACAUCGAUGAAUGUCAAAAACGUCAUGUUGAGGAAAAGACCCCAGACAUAAAAGAAUAUAUUAUAUAUUAGUCCAUUUAUAUUAAACUCUAGAAAGCACAAAUCUAAUCUUUGAUCAUAGAAAAUAGAUCUGUGGUCAUCUAAAACUGGGGGUGUGAGGUCAGGAUUGACAGCAAAGGCUCACAAGCCUGACUUUUGGGGGUGGUGGGCAAGUUCUACAUCUUGAUUGUGACAGUAUUUACAAUCAACUGUCAAAACUCAUGGAGCUGUUCACUUAAAGUUGGUAAAUUAUAUUUUAUGUAAAUUUUUCCUUGAUAAAGUUUUUUUAAAUGAUCUCAAGGUGGAUUAAAGACUUAAACUGUAAAACUCCCAGGAGAAAACAUACAGAGGAUCCUUCAUUAUAUUGGUAUUGGCAGUGAUUUAUUGGAUAUGAUGCCAAAAGCACAGUACACAAAAACAAAAACAGAAUACAGCAACGGAACAAUUAACAGAGUGAAAAAGUAACCUGUGGAAUGGGAAAAUGGGAAUGCUGUUCUGCAUAGCAACGGAACAAUUGGCAGAGUGAAAAGUUUCUUGCAGCUUGGUGUGGUGGAUCUCACCUGUAAUCCCAGGACUUUGGGAGGCCGAGGCAAGAGGAUUGCUUGAGACCAGGAGAUGAAGACCAGCCUGGGCAACAUAAUGAGACCCUGUCUCCACAAAAAUAAAAUAAAAUAAAAUAAAGAUAAAAAUAAAAAAUUUAAAAAUAAUUUUUAAAAA